CGGACGGGUGAGUAAUGUCUGGGAAACUGCCUGAUGGAGGGGGAUAACUACUGGAAACGGUAGCUAAUACCGCAUAACGUCGCAAGACCAAAGAGGGGGCCUUCGGGCCUCUUGCCAUCGGAUGUGCCCAGAUGGGAUUAGCUAGUAGGUGGGGUAAAGGCUCACCUAGGCGACGAUCCCUAGCUGGUCUGAGAGGAUGACCAGCCACACUGGAACUGAGACACGGUCCAG
rnacentral:rRNA from 1 species